GGCGUAACGAUUUGGGCACUGUCUCAAGGAGAGACUCGGUGAAAUCAUAGUACCUGUGAAGAUGCAGGUUACCCGCGACAGGACGGAAAGACCCCGUGGAGCUUUACUGUAGCCUGAUAUUGAAAUUCGGCACAGCUUGUACAGGAUAGGUAGGAGCCUUUGAAACGUGAGCGCUAGCUUACGUGGAGGCGCUGGUGGGAUACUACCCUAGCUGUGUUGGCUUUCUAACCCGCACCACUUAUCGUGGUGGGAGACAGUGUCAGGCGGGCAGUUUGACUGGGGCGGUCGCCUCCUAAAAGGUAACGGAGGCGCUCAAAGGUUCCCUCAGAAUGGUUGGAAAUCAUUCAUAGAGUGUAAAGGCAUAAGGGAGCUUGACUGCGAGACCUACAAGUCGAGCAGGGUCGAAAGACGGACUUAGUGAUCCGGUGGUUCCGCAUGGAAGGGCCAUCGCUCAACGGAUAAAAGCUACCCCGGGGAUAACAGGCUUAUCUCC
rnacentral:rRNA from 1 species